rnacentral:rRNA from 1 species
GAUGAACGCUGGCGGCGUGCCUAAUACAUGCAAGUCGAACGAAACUUCUUUAUCACCGAGUGCUUGCACUCACCGAUAAAGAGUUGAGUGGCGAACGGGUGAGUAACACGUGGGCAACCUGCCCAAAAGAGGGGGAUAACACUUGGAAACAGGUGCUAAUACCGCAUAACCAUAGUUACCGCAUGGUAACUAUGUAAAAGGUGGCUAUACUACCGCUUUUGGAUGGGCCCGCGGCGCAUUAGCUAGUUGGUAGGGUAAAGGCUUACCAAGGCAAUGAUGCGUAGCCGAAUUGAGAGGUUGAUCGGCCACAUUGGGACUGAGACACGGCCCAAACUCCUACGGGAGGCAGCAGUAGGGAAUCUUCCACAAUGGGCGAAAGCCUGAUGGAGCAACGCCGCGUGUGUGAAGAAGGUCUUCGGAUCGUAAAACCCUGUUGUUAGAGAAGAAAGUGCGUGAGAGUAACUGUUCACGUUUCGACGGUAUCUAACCAGAAAGCCACGGCUAACUACGUG